rnacentral:lncRNA from 1 species
AACAGCACCUCCUUCCCUAAUUUGCCUUUGCUCAGUCACACUACAUAGUUAACUAUAAUUUGAUCACAUCAUGCUCUUUCUUGCUUUUGUGAUUUUAUUGAUGUUGCUUCUCAAUGGAAAGUUCCUCUCCUUCUCUUUAGCUGGAAAAUUCUACUUGGCCUUUAAGAGCCAAUAAUAAUUUAUCUCCUCUAUUUCCAGAGGACACAUCUGUCAAUUUUGCAUUUAUUUGUUUACAACCAAUUCUCCCAUGAAAUUAUGAACUUCCAAAGGAGUCUCAUACAUAUUUGCAUAUCUUUGUUAUUUUCACUUCUAGCAUCUAGCUAAUCAGCUGACCAUGAGAUGCAGAGAUUAUCUGGAAUUAUCCAGAUUGGUCCAUUUAAUUACAUGAGUCCUUAAAAGUGGAAAGUGGAAGAAGAGGCAGAAGAGUGUGUCAGAGAGAUGCUGUGUGAAAAGGACUCAACCUGCCACUUGAGGCUUUGAGGCUGGAGAAAGGGGCCAUGAACCAAGGAUUGUGAGCAGCCUGUAAAAUCUGGAAAAGACAAGGCAAUACCCUUUGCUGUCUCAGGGUCAAACAUGCAACUCCUGCCUGCUUGUAUGGCCAGCUGGGUUCAAGAAGGAAGGAACCUCAUUGUUGACAGUUACCAGAUGAAUGUGCCCCUUCUGUACAGCUAAGAAAUGGAAUAGACAUUGAGAUUUCAAAACAAACGGUAUAUCUGAGUUUGUGCACAUGCAGUUUGACCUUGAGUUUCUGGGCAUUUAAAGAGGACCUCUCUACCCUCCACUCCUUCCUCCUUAAGUCAUACUGCACCUGCCAAGAGUCUAGUCUGUCUCCUCCGAGGACGCAAGGGGUCGCCCCUCUACCAGGAUUGCACCAGCAAACCAAGCCGCAAACGCAGACUCAAGUGCGAAGGAGCAAGAGCAUCGCUGUGGGUGCUGUCUCCCAGUCCCACUCCCACAGAAAAAUUGGAAUUGCAACCCAGUUCCACUAUUCCUUCUUUCAUCCCCUCAACACAAACAGAGGUCUCCUUUGACUUGGCCUUGAGAUGAUUAAGGCAGGUCGAAAAGCAGUUUGCCUUUUGACUCCUCUCGGCCCAACCUAGAGGUGCAUCAUCCCACAGCUCCCUGAGGCAGCGCCCGGGGAAAGCUUCCUGCGCCGUGGUCCUCGCUGGGGGAGGUGGGCACAAAAGGACUACAAGCUUUCUUUCCUGUGUCUUCCUUCAGAAUCAGGGGCCCCAAAACUGCAAAGCGAGACGCCUCUGACACUCAGUACCCUGUCCCUCCUUGACAAGUGUGUGGCUCCCAGCCCGGGGGUCCUCGGUGGGGGUAAAGGAGAGAGCGUGCUCUGGGACGCCCAAUGGGCACGGGCUGGAAGAGCGGAUGGAAAGCAGAGUGGGUUGCGCUCCAGCCCGGGCUCCCUAUGCCCACUGACCCUGAGACUCAAUUCCCCAGGCCAGACCCUGGGAGGAGAGGAGGCGGGGACCGCCAGGCGCGUGGACACCGCUGAACCCCAGGCCUCCCCUUCCGCGUCCGGGCCGGAAUGAAAGAGUGGGUGGGGAGUUACCAGAGUACACACCAUUCGGAGGCCAAGAAUAAUAAAUCGGAUGCCCUGACAUAUUUAGUUUGGGCUCUCCUGCCCCCUGCUAGGUGAUCCUAAAGGCGGUGAGGCCCGGCCAGGGCCCCUGUCGCUCUGGCACUGCCACCUUUUUAAAAGGCAAUUUUCAGGUGAAUCAAACCUUGUCUGGCCGAGGCCAGCAAUACAAAGGGAGCUUUCAGGGGACCCUCAUGCCCAGGGGCAGGGCAGGGACAAACAGCGGCCGAGAAGCGAUUACUAAAUUUCCAUCUCACACAAGCCGGUGUUGUGUCCUCCGCGCUGCCCCGACGUCUGCCCCGAAAGGCUUCCCGGGCGGGACGCUGGGAGAGGGAUCCCCUUGGGAAACCAGGUGGGGCCGCUGGGCCUGGGCUGCACGCCGCGGAGGUGCGAGAGCCCAGAGCAGCAGCAUCGCUUCCUGCCCCUCGCGAGCUCCAGGAGAAGUUUCCUCCUCCCUCUCUCCACCAGCGCCCCCAACCAUAGAGCCAGGGUCGCCCCUGCUCUGAGAUCUGCGAAAGGACUCCCCAUGGGAACACAGACACUAGAGCAGCGAGGGCGCCAGGCUACCCUGGAGCGAGGAGAGGUGACACCUUCGCAUCUGUCCCUUCAUCUUGGGAAGAUUCUACCUUUCAGACAGACCAACCCAGGUUGAGGCUGCCGUGGUGGUGUCCGCUUAAUUCCAGCUAGGACACCGUCUUAAGAAGCCAUCACAAUCCAACCCUCCAAAUAACAGCAUUAAGGGCAGCGAGGAGGCGAAUCUUUAGGGAGACCCCACUCUCUGUACGUGUGUGUCCCAGGGGACACACUUGAAAGGGCCAGAGAUGGUACAGACGCUCACAUGUGACAAGAGAGAACCUGGAAACU